CAGGAUCUCUGGUUGGAGAUCCCUCCCUUGUGGAGUUUUCCUUGUGAACCUGGAUCUUCAUAGCUGGACUUGCUGCUUCUAUAAGAACUGGCUCAAUUUCCCUUGGUUGCUGAAGCAGGAAUUCCAGACUCGUUUGUUUCUCCUGUAGAGGAAAACCAACUGUUGAUGCACAUUUCAGGUUGGCGUGUGAGACAGUGUGUGAUGUCCUGCCCAGGAGGGAUAAAUAUGGGAGAAGAAGCAGAGCGAAGCAGCCAACAAGAGGAUGCAAGUAUCCUGGCAGGACCAGUAUGUGCAGAAGUUACUUAAAAGCCAGCCAGUGAGUGACAUUCAUCACAUCAGCAAGCCAUGCCUUUCCAGCCUCUUUCCCCUCUCUUCAUUCAGCUCUACAGUGUUAUUUAUUCAAUUAGCACUUUGCUGUUCCUGUGAUCUCACCUGGAAUUACAGCCUCUGACCUAUGGGUUUCAUUUUGUGCUCCAAUGACUUGACUUAAACCAAGGGUGGCAUUCUAGAAAAGGGCAGUGGCGAAUUUUCCAAUUAAAAGACAUACAUUGUUUUCCCAUAUAAAGAAUGCCUUUAGACUUCCUCAGAAAGUGAAUUCCGACCAGUGCUUCUAUGUUACAAUCUGUCCCAACCCCCAGCUCCAUUACUUAAGGUUGUCAAUCAUAUGAUAGUUACCUAUCAUUAAUAUUCUUCAGUGACACUGGCAUGACAAGAUUUUCUACAAUUCUCCUCUAGAACAGAGAAGUAUUUUCCAGCUGUUCAGCCAGUAAAAACUAUGUUCCUGAAAAUUAACUCAGAUCUCAUCCUGCAGCCCUCAGUCAUAACUAACACUGGUGCUAUUUAAUGGAGAGAGUGUAUCGAAGGACACUGGAGUUAGUGGUUUGUGGUCCUAUUUCUGCACUGAUCUUUUUCAACAGAAGUGGGCAGUCCCUUUUAAAAUACCAAAACCUCUAUUUUUUUUUAAAUAUUUCUGUUGAAAUAA